GUGCCAGCCGCCGCGGUAAUACGUAGGGUGCAAGCGUUAAUCGGAAUUACUGGGCGUAAAGCGUGCGCAGGCGGUUGUGCAAGACAGAUGUGAAAUCCCCGGGCUUAACCUGGGAAUUGCAUUUGUGACUGCACGGCUAGAGUGUUUCAGAGGGGGGUAGAAUUCCGCGUGUAGCAGUGAAAUGCGUAGAGACGUGGAGGAACACCGAUGGCGAAGGCAGCCCCCUGGGUCAAGACUGACGCUCAUGCACGAAAGCGUGGGGAGCAAACAGGAUUAGAUACCCUGGUAGUCCACGCCUUAAACGAUGUCAACUAGUUGUUGGGGAUUCAUUUCCUUAGUAACGUAGCUAACGCGUGAAGUUGACCGCCUGGGGAGUACGGGCGCAAGAUUAAAACUCAAAGGAAUUGACGG
rnacentral:rRNA from 1 species